UUAUACAUGACAAUAUUAGCUAGCUGGUAGCUUGGGCAUGACGUUUUCUUGUGGUCUUUAAUAAAUUAUAGACAUAAGCUUAAAGUGAAUGGGAAAAUAAGGAAAUGUUGCAUUUGUUGCAUGAAUUAAACAGAAACACUUAUUAGAGCCUUGGCUUUAGUACUUUAUUUUGUUGCUUCUUUCAGAUAUAUAUAUAAAAAAAAAAAAUGUACGCAGUAUAACAUGAAAGUCAGGCUACACACAACAAUGUGGUGUAAGUAGAAAAAAAAAAAAGUCAAUAAUCAAAGAAGUUCACAAAGUUAGAAUGAUGAAAAAAAA